rfam:Mycobacterium kansasii 824 gmk824.contig.4, whole genome shotgun sequence.
CUACGGGUAUCAGCUGCGGGCAGAUCAAGUGCACGUGACAGUCGAUGGCGCCGGCGGUAAGAAUGCGCCCGUUGCCGCCGAUGACCUCGGUGGAGGGUCCGACGACCAGAUCCGGAUGGACACCCGACAUGGUGUCGGGAUUGCCUGCCUUGCCGAUCGCGACAACGCGGCCAUCACGAAUCCCGAUGUCGGCCUUGAUGAUUCCCCAAUAGUCGAUAAUCACCGCACCGGUGAUGACGGUGUCGGGUGCGCCCUCGGCCCGGGUCGCGCGGCCCUGGCCCAUCGACUCGCGCAA